rnacentral:rRNA from 1 species
UAACUCUAACCAGCUAGCCUACCCCUAAAAAGAUAACAACCAACAUCAAUAGCCCCAAAAACCCUUAAACAAGCAACUAAAUCAUUCUUCUGCCUGAGUAUGGGAGACAGAAAAGGAAUCUUGAGCAAUAGAAAAAGUACCGCAAGGGAAAGCUGAAAAAGUAAAUGAAAGAACUCAGUAAAGAGCUAAAAAGCAGAGACACCCCCUCGUACCUUUUGCAUCAUGACUUAGCCAGACCCCCUCAGGCAAAGAGCCCUUUAGUCUGAGCCCCCGAAACUAGACGAGCUACUUCAAGACAGCCUCUUAGGGCUAACCCGUCUCUGUGGCAAAAGAGUGGGGAGAUCUUCAAGUAGAGGUGAUAAGCCUACCGAGCCUAGUAAUAGCUGGUUGCCCAUAAAAUGAAUAAAAGUUCAGCCUUUAGGGCUCUUAAUUCAAGAGCUGCCAGCCUACAUGUUAAAAAGUAGCCCUAAAGAGUUAUUCAAAGGGGGAACAGCCCCCUUGAAAAAAGACACAACUUUGCAGGAAGACUAAAGAUUAUAAAAAUCAAGGGUUUUCACCUCAGUAGGCCUAAAAGCAGCCCCCUGUAAUGAAAGCGUUAAAGCUCAAGUGAUCAACCACUAAAAAUUUCAAUCUACUCAUCUUAAGUCCCCUAAUAAAUAAUGGGCCUUUUUAUGCAAGCAUAAAAGAGACACUGCUAACAUGAGUAAUAAGAGGACGCCCCUCUCCCCUUACAUCUGUGUACAUCAGUUCAGACCCCUACUGAAAAUUAACGCCCCCAAACUAAGAGGGAAAUAAGACACACAAUAUAAUCAAGAAGUCCCCUUAAAACCCCAGCGUUAACCCAACACAGGCAUGUCCUAGGAAAGACUAAAAGAAAGAGAAGGAAUUCAGCAAGCACUGGCCUCGCCUGUUUACCAAAAACAUCGCCUCUUGCCUCCCCCCCCUAUAAGAGGUCCUGCCUGCCCUGUGACUUACAGUUUAACGGCCGCGGUAUUCUGACCGUGCAAAGGUAGCGCAAUCACUUGUCUUUUAAAUGAAGACCUGUAUGAAUGGCUUGACGAGGGCCAAACUGUCUCCUUUUUCCAGUCAAUGAAAUUGAUCUCCCCGUGCAGAAGCGGGGAUGCACCCAUAAGACGAGAAGACCCUGUGGAGCUUUAGGCACCAGGCAGCCCAUCAAACACCCCCCCCCCCGUUACCGGAAAAACAUGGCCCCUGCCCCAUGCCUUUGGUUGGGGCGACCGUGGGGCAAAAAACACCCCCCAUGCGGAAUGGGGCCAAACCCCUGAAGCAAGAGCUGCUGCUCUAGCAGACAGAACAUCUGACCAACAAGAUCCGGCAAUGCCGAUUAACAGACCAAGUUACCCCAGGGAUAACAGCGCAAUCCCCUUUGAGAGCUCCCAUCGACAAGGGGGUUUACGACCUCGAUGUUGGAUCAGGACUUCCUAAUGGUGCAGCCGCUAUUAAGGGUUC